rnacentral:rRNA from 1 species
UACAGAGACUGCAAGCGUUAUUCGGAUUCACUGGGCGUAAAGGGUGCGCAGGCGGCCGUGUGUGUCAGGUGUGAAAGCCCGGAGCUUAACUCCGGAAUUGCGCCUGAAACUACAUGGCUAGAGCAUUGGAGAGGGUAGCGGAAUUCACGGUGUAGCAGUGAAAUGCGUAGAUAUCGUGAGGAACACCAGAGGCGAAGGCGGCUACCUGGACAAUUGCUGACGCUCAGGCACGAAAGCGUGGGGAGCGAACAGG